rnacentral:rRNA from 1 species
AGUCAAGGGAAAAAGGGCGUAGGGUGGAUGCCUUGGCAUCAGUGGCCGAAGAAGGGCGCGGCAAGACUGCGAAAAGCCUCAGUGAGCUGUCUAGCUAGCUUAGCUGGGGAUUCCCGAAUGGGGCAACCCGCUUGGGUGAAACCCAAGCACUCGCUUUAAGCGAGGGGGAACCGGGUGAACUGAAACAUCUAAGUAACCCGAGGAAAAGAAAUCAAAAGAGAUUCCCUGAGUAGUGGCGAACGAAAGGGGAGGAGCCCAAACCAAGGUAGCUGAGUGGGCUUGGAUCCUAAGCUAUCUCGGUGUUGUAAGGCGCAAGGAGCAGAUUCCAAGGUCUGCUACAGAGUUACAAAACUUCAUCUUAGCCAAAUGCUUCUGGAAAGGGCAACUAUAGAAGGUGAGAGUCCUGUAGGCGAAAAGAGUGAAGUCUCUGCUUGUGUUCUUGAGUACCACGGGACACGUGGAAUCCUGUGGGAAGCUGGGGGGACCACCCUCCAAGGCUAAAUACUGCUGAUGACCGAUAGUGAACCAGUACCGUGAGGGAAAGGUGAAAAGCACCCCGGGAGGGGAGUGAAAUAGAAUCUGAAACCCUGUGCUUACAAGCCGUCAGAGGUUUGCUUCGGCGAACUGAUGGCGUGCCUAUUGAAGAAUGAACCGACGAGUUGAUUUAUGUGGCUAGGUUAAGCAACUUAGUUGCGGAGCCGAAGCGAAAGCAAGUCUGAAUAGGGCGCAGCUCAGCUUAGCUGAGCAGGUCGCAUGGAUCAGACCCGAAACCGAGUGAUCUACCCAUGGCCAGAGUGAAGCUCAAGUAAAAUUGAGUGGAGGCUCGAACUUGUGAGUGAGGCAAAACUCUAGGAUGAGCUGUGGGUAGUGCAGGUGAAAUGCCAAUCGAACUCGGAGAUAGCUGGUUCUCCCCGAAAUGCAUUUAGGUGCAGCCUCAGGAAGUAAUUUAUGGAGGUAGAGCUCUGGAUGGGCUUGGGACCGUGAGGUUACCGUGUUCAACCAAACUGCAAAUGCCAUAAAUG